rnacentral:rRNA from 1 species
UGGCGAAAGGGUUAGUAAUACAUGGGUAAUGUACCUUCAACUCUGGAAUAACACCCGGAAACGGAUGCUAAUACCGGAUGUGGUAGUCGAUGGCAUCAUCGACUAUCAAAGAGGGGGACUGCGAAAGUAGCCUCUUGGUUGAAGAGCAGCCCAUGGGAUAUCAGCUUGUUGGUGUGGUAAAGGCGCACCAAGGCUAAGACGUCUAGGCGGGUUGAGAGAUUGACCGCCAACACUGGGACUGAGACACUGCCCAGACUCCUACGGGAGGCUGCAGUCGAGAAUCAUUCGCAAUGGGCGAAAGCCUGACGAUGCGACGCCGUGUGAGCGAAGAAGCCUUCGGGUUGUAAAGUUCUUUCGCUUAGGAACAAGAGAUAGUGAUUAAUACUCGCUUGAUUUGAGGGUACUAGGUAAAGAAGCACCGGGCUAACUCCGUGCCAGCAGCUGCGGUAAUACGGAGGGUGCAAGCGUUAAUCGGAUUUAUUGGGCGUAAAGAGGGCGCAGCGGAAUUGUAAGUCAGAUGUGAAAUCCCGAAGCUCAACUUCGGAACUGCAUCUGAAACUACAAUUCUAGAGGAUAGGCGGAGAAAACGGAAUUCCAUGUGUAGCGGUGAAAUGCGUAGAUAUAUGGAAGAACACCGGUGGCGAAGGCGGUUUUCUAGCUUAUUCCUAACGCUCAUGCCCGAAAGCGAGGGGAGCGAACAGGAUUAGAUACCCUGGUAGUCCUCGCCGUAAACGAUGCAUACUAGGUGUAGUCGGACUCAACCCCGACUUUGCCGUAGCUAACGCGUUAAGUAUGCCGCCUGGGGAGUACGCUCGCAAGGGUGAAACUCAAAAGAAUUGACGGGGACCCGCACAAGCAGUGGAGCAUGUGGUUUAAUUCGAUGCAACGCGAAGAKCCUUACCCAGACUUGACAUUCAGCGGACAGCGCCAGAGAUGGCGUCUCCUUCGGGUCGCUGAACAGGUGCUGCAUGGCUGUCGUCAGCUCGUGCCGUAGGUGUUGGGUUAAGUCCCGCAACGAGCGCAACCCUUAUCGUUAGUUGCCAGCAUUUUAGAUGGGGACUCUAACGAGACUGCCUAGGUUAACUAGGAGGAAGGUGAGGAUGACGUCAAGUCAGCAUGGCCCUUAUGUCUGGGGCUACACACGUGCUACAAUGGCCGGUACAGCAGGCAGCAAAGCCGAAAGGUGGAGCAAAUCCUUAAAACCGGUCCCAGUUCGGAUUGGAGUCUGCAACUCGACUCCAUGAAGUUGGAAUUGCUAGUAAUGGCGUGUCAGCAAUAACGCCGUGAAUACGUUCCCGGGUCUUGUACACACCGCCCGUCACAUCAUGGGAGUUGGUUUUGCCCGAAGUCGCUGACUUGACCGCAAGGAGAGAGGCGCCGAAGGUGAGGCCGAUGACUGGGAUG